CAGAUAUAGGCGAGUGUGCGGUCAAGGUCAAAAUUGCGAGAGGGUGAUUCGAAGUGAAAUACCGCAAAAAAAACGUUCGAUUUGGACAUUAACGCGUCUAACUGAAUGAGUCACAAUGUUUCUACCACAAGAGUUGUAAAUAUUGAACAGAAAGGGCUUCAUCUUCAAGAUCAAAACUGCAAAAAAUGGCCACCAACAAUAAUGGGCCAGGACUGAGGAGUUCCAAGAAAUGAGUAUUCUUCAGCCCACAAAUAUCAGUGCUGCCCCGCUGCCCAAAACCAGAGUGUUGCAACAAGUAAAUGGACCUUGACAAAUGUCCUCUAUGUUAGAGCCAGUCCCUUACACAAGUGGCCUACUUUUGCACAGCUGAGGUUGUUAUCAAACGCAGCAGUAGGUAUGAAAUGCGGAAACUGUUCCAACUUGAUCUUCAACAGUUGAGUUACUCCUCAUCACAAUACCUGAACUGAAAACAAUCGGUGACGAUCCUGCACUUCUCUUCUACCUCACAGUGCUCUUCCCUAUAAACGCUAGAGGAAAGUUUGAAAAUGAAAAACUUGUCAUUGCAAGUGUGAAAGGACCAAUUGAUUCUUAACGAAACAACCUGCCUCAAUGCUUUAGCUGACACUACAUCAAGUCAACACAAGGCAAUUUGUUUUUCUCGCAACCUGACCGGUAUGUCGAAUCUGAUCAAAAUUGUACACAACCACUGGUCAAGAAUAUAGAAAUACAAGUUGUAUGAUCAGUAACCUAAAAUAUUCUUGAAUAUUUGAACAUAAUAAAAGAGUAUUUGUUAAAGUUAUACAUAUUGUGUGUAGUGUAGGUAAGAUCAAUGUCAAGGUUAUUUUGGCUAAAAAAAAGGAAAAUGAGUCUUGAUUCAUAACAUCGAUGAAAUA